GAUGAACGCUGGCGGCGUGCCUAACACAUGCAAGUCGAGCGGAAAGACGAGGAGGUUGCUCCUCUGACGUUUGCGGCGGACGGGAGUGUAACAAGUGCAUAGCCCACCAUUUGGACUGGGAUAAUAUCGGGAAACAGGAGCUUAUACUGGAUAACAUGAUGAACCGCAGGGAUCAACGGUGUGAGACGGCUUUGCGGUCACUUAUCGAUGUAUCCGCGCCGCAUUAGCUAGUUGGUAAGGUAACGGCCUGCCAAGGGGAGGUGACGUAGCCGACCUGAGAGGAUGAUCAGCCACACUGGAACGGAGACACGGUCCAGAGUCAUACGGGAGGCAGCAGUAGGGAAUCUUGAGCAAUGGGCGAGAGCCUGAGGGAGCAACACCGCGUGAGUGAAGAAGGUCUUCGGUUUGUAAAACUCUGUUAUUAGGAAAGAAAAGAUGUUUAAGUAGAGAAGCACGUCAUGACGGUACCAAAAGAAGAAGCCACGGCUAACUACGUG
rnacentral:rRNA from 1 species